GUAUCUAUUAGUUCAGGUGCAUUUUCUUGCAAGAGGUAGUGUUCCAUUCCUGUCAUCUCUGAUGGCACAUUUUUUGUUUUCGGUUGGCGAGUGUCCUGCGGCAGUGAGCUACUCCAGGUCAGCGCCUAAGCGUCAUAUACGAAGACCGUUCUUCGUCGACUUCACAGAGGGAAUUGUGGCGUAAUAAGCAGCAGUUUCAUAGUCUUCUCAAAUAAAGGCUUUGAUUAUAUAAACAUGGGUCGCAUUAUUGCCUAAAAGUCCAAACCCAAAAGUCUUUAAUAAUAAAGUCCAUACACCCGAGUUGUCCACUUGAUUGAUCGUUAAGGAGCUUCCCAAUAAAGCAUUAAAAUGUUGGACUUCUUUAUCAUCUUUUUUUCAGUUUGACUUGGUUUUACUUGCAAUGGCUUUUGGGUAAUUAAAGGUAUUUAAAAAGAAAGUAAGUAUCGAGUAUUUCUCAAAAAUGAAUGGUAAAUUAAUGGUAAGUUGGUGUAUUAACAAUAAGAUGUGAAGCAAAUAAUUGGUAAUAGGUAUAUUAAAAAAUAAGUUGGUAAGUAAUAAAUAUUUGGUAAGUAUGUACAUUAAAAAUUAUUGGUAAGUAGCCUAUAUUAAAACUACAUUGGUAAAUAAUAUAAAUAAGUUUAUUUUUACGUCAUGUAAAUAUGUACAUAUAGGUAUUUCGGUAAAUAAAAUGUUGCUUUGAAGAUUGAAAAAUACUCAAUAAUUUGUAAGAAGGUACAGUAAAUAAGUGUUUUAUAGAGGUAAGUCCCUUGGUAAUUAGAAAGAAAGUAAGAAAACCCAUUUAUUUUAAAGAUCUAACAUACACUUGUUUUGUAUUACAGAGAGAUCUACAGGUGUCGAAUACGACGAAUGUAUGCUAAGAUUAUUUCGAUUUCUUGAGAAAUUAUCACUAAAACCACAUAAAAUAACCAAACUAAAUAAGCGUAAAAUUCGUUAAAAUGAUAAAUGGUUUGUAAACUAUGUUGGUAUUUGCUGUCGAAAUGUUGUCAUUGAAGAUUGAUGUUCCAAAACUGUUUAUUUCGUUUGAGGGUUACGACUAUCAGGGUAAAUGUAUGAACGUUUUAUACUGAACUAGCGACCCGCCCCGGCUUCGCACGGGAUAACAGUAUUUCCCUACUAUUUAAUGUAUGUUAUUAUACAUAUAAAACUUCCUCUUUAAUCACACUAUCUAUUAAAAAAACAGCAUGAAAAUCGGUUGCGUAGUUUUAAAAAUUUACUCGUACAAAGGGACAUAGGGACACAGCGACUUUGUUUUAUACUAUGUAGUGAUGUACCUACUCUGAAUGAAAUAUGUAGUAUAUAUACCUACCAUAUUUAGUACCUAAUCAUUGCGUAUCAUUUGUGCCAAAAACUAAUUGAUUAUCGAGCACACGCAUCCCUCUACGUAACCGUAAUUGCAAUUAAUUUUUAGAGACUUGGAACUAAAACUUUAAUAUUUAUGCGAGGGAUUUUUUUAUGUUCCACUUUUAUUUUUAAAUUUUGCUCUGCGAAUCUGUAUUAUCAUUUAGCUAAAAUUCUGUGCGAUGAUUCUUCAGAUUAGGUACAGACAUAUUGUAGUUUCCUGGAAUUCUAUCUAAAAGGCUCUGUUGUUAUAUUCCUAAGCGUUUAUUUUUGUUUAUUUUUAUCGUAUUUAUUGAGGUAGGUUUUGUAACACCAUGGCGCACCAAGUUUAAAGGCACAAAAGACAAAGUACAUACACAAUUGGCAUUGCUAAGUUGAUACGCUUAAUAUCCAAUCUUUCGUGUCUCCGGUUUUCACCACUGAUCAUUAAAAACAAUUUCCGCGAAGUAUCAUCAAAUGAUCUUUCUAAAUAAAAUAUAGUUACAUACAGAUACAGAAAGAUGGUUAGAAUUUAUUGUAUUUAGUGAACAGUGGUGCAAAAUUACCAGCAUUUAAGCAAGCCGGCCUUGCUUAAGCGCUGGUAAUAUUGGUUUUAUUUCAUAAAGGUAAUUUGGUUGGUAUUUUUUUAGACAGGGGUCCGACCUGGCAAUCAUUGAAGGGAAACGAAGUACCAAUGGACGUCCUACGUAUCAAAUGCUAUUUGAAUACAUUGAAAAAUUAAUGGGAGGAAUGCUUGCCUCCUUGCUUGGAAGUCAGGCCUAAGCACAUCAGCACUGCCAAGUUCUGCCGGGGCUGCGGGGUUGUUCAAAACAGUUACCGCAGCCCUGGUACAUAAAAGGCCUUCGACGCGACGGAACACGACGGUUUUUAGUCAGUAAGAGCCUGACACCCCCUUACCGCUGCUAAGGCACACCGGAAGGAGGUGUCAGGCUCCUAUUUGAUGAUUAUUGACGUCGUUAAAAAGACCUAAACACAUGAAAGAAAUAUCUAAACAAAUGAGUGCCUCAGCAAUUCACGACAUCUAAACUAAACAUACCAAGAAACUAUAUACAACACCUUUAAAAUAGCGCAAAAAAAGGGAAUCAGGCAGAAGGCCUCGUCUGUCGUCGGCUGUCAUUGAAAAUCCUUGACAGUCGUUAUGGGUAGUCAGAAGCCAGUCUGACACCAGUCUAACCAAGGGGUAUUGGGUUGCCCGGGUAACUGGGUUAAGGAUGUCAGAUAGGGCAGUCGCUCCUUGUAAAGCACUGGUACUCAGCUACAUCCGGUUAGACUGGAAGCCGACCCCAACAUAGUUUGGGAAAAAGGUUCGGAGGAGGAGGCAGAAGGCCUCGUGACGAAGAAACCAAAUAAACAAUGUUUGUAACAAAUUCCAAAAAAGUUGCAAAUAUAAUGAAACAUUAAGAAGAAAACGGAACAUUUUUUGCGUGACUACGAAACCAAGAAAACUAAGUUAUAAAGUUGACGGUAUAGGACAAAACAUAAUAUUAGAACGUACCUAUUACAGAAGUUGAAACGAUACUUACCAAUGUAUUUUUCAUUUUAUAUUUUUAUUGUUAUGAUUGAAUAGAGAAUUACUUAUUUUGUCAUCUAUUAUUAUCAGUAGGUUUGAUCUUCUCGACUUUAUAUUGGUUUUGUUAUAGAGCCCGAACCUUUUGAUUGUACAUUGAAGUUAUAAAACGUUAAUUUCUGUGGUUCUUCUGUCGACAAUGUUCUUCUUCUAACAUUAUUAAUUACGGUUUAAAUUAUAUUUAUUUGA
rnacentral:lncRNA from 1 species